rnacentral:rRNA from 1 species
AGUGAACGCUGGCGGUAGGCCUAACACAUGCAAGUCGAACGGCAGCACAGUAAGAGCUUGCUCUUACGGGUGGCGAGUGGCGGACGGGUGAGGAAUAAAUCGGAAUCUACUUUUUCGUGGGGGAUAACGUAGGGAAACGUACGCUAAUACCGCAUACGACCUACGGGUGAAAGCAGUGGAGCUUCGGACCUUGCGCGAUUGAAUGAGCCGAUGUCGGAUUAGCUAGUUGGCGGGGUAAAGGCCCACCAAGGCGACGAUCCGUAGCUGGUCUGAGAGGAUGAUAAGCGACACUGGAACGUGGACACGGACAAUAGUCCUACGAGAGGCAGCAGUGGGGUAUAUUGGACAAUGGGCGCAAACAUUGCCCAGUCAUCCCGAGUGGGAGACGACGGCCUUCGGGUUGUAAAGACCUUUUGUUGGGAAAGAAAAUCAGCAGGUUAAUACCACGCUAUUCUGACGGUACCCAAAGAAUAAGCACCGGCUAACUUCGUG